UGGGGAAUUGUUCGCAAUGGGCGCAAGCCUGACGACGCAACGCCGCGUGGAGGAUGAAGAAUUUCGGUUCGUAAACUCCUUUCGAUCGGGAAGAACGUUUCGGGGAUGAAUACUCCCCGGAAGUGACGGUACCGAGAGAAGAAGCCCCGGCUAACUCUGUGCCAGCAGCCGCGGUAAUACAGGGGGGGCAAGCGUUGUUCGGAAUUACUGGGCGUAAAGGGCUCGUAGGCGGCCAACUAAGUCACACGUGAAAUCCCCAGGCUUAACCUGGGAACUGCGUGUGAUACUGGAUGGCUUGAAUCCGGGAGAGGGAUGCAGAAUUCCAGGUGUAGCGGUGAAAUGCGUAGAUAUCUGGAGGAAUACCGGUGGCGAAGGCGGCAUCCUGGACCGGCAUUGACGCUGAUGAGCGAAAGCUAGGGGAGCAAACGG
rnacentral:rRNA from 1 species